rnacentral:lncRNA from 1 species
GGGUAAACUCGAGCAAACAACAGAAAAAGAAGAAAGAAAUUACAAUACACAGCUUCUGCACAGGUAAUGAGCAAAGAGCGAAUGAAACAGAGGGGGAGGACCCAGCAAAGGAAAAAUCAGAAAUCCCAGCAAAUUGGAUACAGGCUUUGGAAGAACUCAAAAUGCAAUUCAAAACACAAUUAAGAGAGGCUUAAGACAAUUGGGAAAAGAACUUAAAAACUAAGAUAAGUCAUCUGGAAACAGAAAAUAGUGUCUUGAAAGCCAAAAUCAACCAGCUGGAAAAUGAGGCAAAGGAGAUGAAAGAUGAGGUGAAGAUGAUGAAAGAUGAGGUGAAGAAGAUGAAAGAUGAGGUGAAGAAGAUGAAAGAUGACCUCCAAAUAAAAUCCAACCAAAAGGAAAAGGACGACCAAAAAACUAAGGAUGAAAUCCAAUCUUUAAGAACCAGAAUACAACAAUUAGAAUCGAGCGACCUCACAAGGCAGCAGGACUCUAUAAAACAAAACCAAAAGAAUGAAAAAAUUGAGUAAUAACUGUAGGGUCUUGGCUGUGUCAAGGUGAAUAUUUGGAUGACUCAGUUUACCUCUGCACUUUGAGGAACCCCAGUACUAAACACACCUAUUUUAUUUGAAAGUUAAGUACCUGUUUGUUUUGAAACAUUUUUCUAUUGGUGAUUAAACUAUGUAAGAUAAGCGAAGAGAUAUUUUUACAUGGAUAAGAGAUUAUCUCUUGAAGGGACCUGCUGAGAGAAGAGUGUGGGAAGGAAAAGAAGAAACUGAGAGUUCUAAGGAAGGAACAGAGGCUUGGACAUUCAACAGACAAGUCACUUCUGGCUGAGGGAAGAAACAAAAUAUGAACAACUUUGGUGGGGAUUAAAUAAGACUUGUGGGAGAUGGAAACUGAACUGAGCUUUGGAAGCAGUGAGAGAGUCUACAAGAGUGAGGAGAAGAGAGACUGUUUCAGGAAUGAAGGCAUAGACAUGUACAGACAGCAAUUUCAUCAGAGUGGGCAUCCAGGGAAUUAUAUUUAUUCAUUUUCUAAAGUCAAGAUUCCAAUUUUGCUGGAGACUACAAGCAACAAUUUGUGCUUAAAAUUCAUCUCCAUGCAUGCAACCUCAAAUGAGGAAAAGUCUCUGAAAAGUGGAGUUGUUUGUAUUUUCAAUUCUUCAUGGACUCUUACCCACCUCUAAUGAGCAUUUCAAGUCUGUACAAUGGGGCAACGUAAAUACCUUCUGGUAAACCCAUUUGUCGCCUGUGUCUCAAUUGAGAAUAAAAUAUACUUUGGCUAG